AUUUCUCAAACAUGCAUGAAAGGAUCAAAGAAACACUCCAGGGUGCCGGUCUGUGAGGUCUUCAGGCUACUGCUCUCUUUUCUCGUGACUUCCUCCUCUUCUAGUGAGACUCUUCAGUGAUGUCCACAUUCACUCUGUGACGCUAAACGAACAAACCACCUGUAAACAGGAAGGCGAGGUAAACCGAGGCUGAGAGGAAACGGAGCGGCUGCUGUGAGAGGCAGACACUCUGAGGAGGACUGAUGGCGAAUCAGCCUCGGUUAGGUUCACUCCGCUCGGCCCGGUUCGGCCAUCAGCGGGAGGAAGAGAACGAUUUGAUUUACACCGCCCCCUAACGGAGGACCGGCUUUUCUUGACGACGACGAGGUCUGAGUAUGAAGAUUGUAAUUAAAAG